rnacentral:rRNA from 1 species
AUACGUAGGUGACAAGCGUUAUCCGGAUUUACUGGGCGUAAAGGGCGUGUAGGCGGUCUUGCAAGUCAGAAGUGAAAUUCCUGAGCUCAACUCGGGCGCUGCUUCUGAAACUGCAGGACUUGAGUGCUGGAGGGGAUAGCGGAAUUCCUAGUGGAGCGGUAAAGUGCGCAGAUAUUAGGAAGAACACCGGUGGCGAAGGCGGCUAUCUGGACAGUAACUGACGCUGAGGCGCGAAAGCGUGGGGAGCAAACAGGAUUAGAUACCCUGGUAGUCCACGCUGUAAACGAUGAAUACUAGGUGUAGGGGGUAUCGACUCCCUCUGUGCCGCAGUUAACACAAUAAGUAUUCCGCCUGGGGAGUACGGCCGCAAGGUUGAAACUCAAAUGAAUUGACGGGG